CUAGGUUAAUCGUGACCCCUCCAUCUCCGUUCGACAACCGCACACGCAGCACCUUCUCCAUGACGGCGCCCCCACCUCCGUUCGACAACCCGGACAGCACCCCAAGACAAUAGACCAGUUUCCGUUCGACUCCAGGACAGAAACCUUGCUAUUGUUCGACAUCCACAACAGCUUGUGUGACUGGAGUCAACCUCUCUUCUCCGACGACUGGUUUCCUCCUUCUCAGGUGAGAGCACCUCAGAUGCACUACAGGUUCCCCAGCUCAAAACAACUAUGGAGCGGUCGUGUCACUUUGGGCAUCAGUUAUCAUGGUUUAUUUUAUGGAUACACAAAUUUAGUAUUCAGUUUAUUCAACUUUAUAUGGUGGUGUCAUUGGGGCCUUUGAUCGUCAAGGAGAGCUA